rnacentral:other from 1 species
UGCUCGCUGCGUUGUGCGUUGAUGAAUGAAGUUUCAACCGUUGACUGUAAAUAGGGAGUUCUAUAUCGGAAUAGGAAUGUCAUGCCUCUUUUUAGACAUGCAUGAGGACGACAGGAAUAUUCCUGCGAACACCCACUUGGUGGAGUGUGGUUCGAAAACUCCAUUCGAAAACGGCAAUCGCGGCACAUUG